GAUGAACGCUAGCUACAGGCUUAACACAUGCAAGUCGAGGGGAAACGGCAUUACGUGCUUGCACUUUUUGGACGUCGACCGGCGCACGGGUGAGUAACGCGUAUCCAACCUUCCCAUGACUAAGGGAUAACCUGCCGAAAGGCAGACUAAUACCUUAUGGUCUCCACUGACGGCAUCAGAUGUGAAGUAAAGAUUUAUCGGUUAUGGAUGGGGAUGCGUCUGAUUAGCUUGUUGGCGGGGUAACGGCCCACCAAGGCAACGAUCAGUAGGGGUUCUGAGAGGAAGGUCCACCACAUUGGAACUGAGACACGGUCCAAACUCCUACGGGAGGCAGGAGUGAGGAAUAUUGGUCAAGGGGCGAGAGCCUGAACCAGCCAAGUAGCGUGCAGGAUGACGGCCCUAUGGGUUGUAAACUGCUAUUGUAUGGGGAAAAAGUCAAUCACGUGUGAUUGUUUGCAGGUACCAUACGAAUAAGGACCGGCUAAUUCCGUG
rnacentral:rRNA from 1 species